CAUGUCUUUUUGAGUUUAAUUUAAAGUCUGAUCUGCUCAAUGAAUAUUAAAUAGCCGCAGUAUUUUAACUGUGCGAAGGUAGCAUAAUAAUUAGUUUCUUAAUUAGAAACUGGAAUGAAUGAUUGGACAAGAAAAUAUCUGUCUCUUUUUUAAAUUUUUUGAAUUUUAUUUUUAAGUGAAAAAGCUUAAAUUUUUAUAAAAGACGAGAAGACCCUAUAGAGUUUAAUAUUAUUGAGUAAUUUAAAUUUGGAAAUAAAAUUUUAUUUAAUUUUAUUUGAUUGGGGUGAUUUAAAGAUAAAAAAAAUUCUUUAAUUUGUAAAUUGGUGAUGUCUAAACUAUAAAUCUAUAUUUUAUAAAAAUAAAAUAAAUUACCUUAGGGAUAACAGCGUAAUUUUUCUUUAAAGUUCACAUUAAAAGGAAAGUUUGCGACCUCGAUGUUGGAUUAAAAUUAAUUUUUGGUGCAAUAACUUAAAAAUUAGGUCUGUUCGACCUUUAAAAUUUUACAUGAUCUGAGUUUAAAUCGGCGUGAGCCAGGUUGGAUUCUAUCUUUAGAAUAUUAAUAUAUUUUAGUACGAAAGGACCAAAUAUUUAUUAAAUUAAUU
rnacentral:rRNA from 1 species